UACGUAGGGUGCAAGCGUUAAUCGGAAUUACUGGGCGUAAAGUGUGCGCAGGCGGCGCCGCAAGUCGAGUGUGAAAUCCCCGAGCUUAACUUGGGAAUUGCGCUCGAAACUACGACGCUGGAGUAUGGCAGAGGAAGGUGGAAUUCCACGUGUAGCGGUGAAAUGCGUAGAGAUGUGGAGGAACACCGAUGGCGAAGGCAGCCUUCUGGGCCAAUACUGACGCUCAUGCACGAAAGCGUGGGGAGCAAACAGG
rnacentral:rRNA from 1 species